rnacentral:rRNA from 1 species
UACGAAGGGUCCAAGCGUUGUUCGGAAUUACUGGGCGUAAAGCGCGCGUAGGCGGGUUCGUAAGUCGAUUGUGAAAGCCCUGGGCUUAACCUGGGAAUGGCAGUCGAAACUGCGAAUCUUGAAUGUCUGAGAGGAUGGCGGAAUUCCCGGUGUAGUAGUGAAAUACGUAGAUAUCGGGAAGAACACCUGAGGCGAAGGCGGCUAUCUGGCGGUACAUUGACGCUGAGGCGCGAAAGCGUGGGGAGCAAACAGG